rnacentral:tRNA from 1 species
GAGUUUAGGUGCUUAGCUGUUAACUAAGAG